GACGAACGCUGGCGGCGUGCUUAACACAUGCAAGUCGAACGAAGUGGCGAACGGGUGAGUAACGCGUAAUCAACCUGCCCUUCAGAGGGGGACAACAGUUGGAAACGACUGCUAAUACCGCAUACUGAAGGAGGGGAUUGCGUCUGAUUAGCUAGUUGGAGGGGUAACGGCCCACCAAGGCGAUGAUCAGUAGCCGGGUUGAGAGGAUGAACGGCCACAUUGGGACUGAGAAACGGCCCAGACCCCUACGGGAGGCAGCAGGUGGGAAUCGUCCGCAAUGGACGAAAGGCCUACGGAGCAACGCCGCGGUAGUGAUGACGGCCUUCGGGUUGGAAAGCUCUUUUAAGCGGGACGCGGUACCGGAAGAGAAAGCCACGGCUAACUACGUGCCAGCCGCCGCGGUAAUAC
rnacentral:rRNA from 1 species